AACGAACGCUGGCGGCAGGCCUAAAACAUGCAAGUCGAACGGGUGUAGCAAUACAUCAGUGGCGCACGGGUGAGUAACGCGUGGGAACGUGCCCUUCAGUACGGGACAACGUCGGGAAACUGACGCUAAUACCGUAUAAUGACUCCGGUCCAAAGAUUUAUCGCUGAAGGAGCGGCCCGCGUCUGAUUAGCUAGUUGGUGAGGUAAUGGCUCACCAAGGCUACGAUCAGUAGCAGGUCUGAGAGGAUGAUCUGCCACACUGGGACUGAGACACGGCCCAGACUCCUACGGGAGGCAGCAGUUAGGAAUAUUGGACAAUGGGCGAAAGCCUGAUCCAGCCAUGCCGCGUGUGUGAUGAAGGCCCUAGGGUUGUAAAGCACUUUCGUUGGGGAUGAUAAUGACCGUACCCAAGAAGAAGCACCGGCUAACUUCGUGCCAGCAGCCGCGGUAAUGUACAGUGU
rnacentral:rRNA from 1 species